rnacentral:rRNA from 1 species
CGGAUGAGUAACGCGUGAGUAACCUGCCUUACACAAGGGGAUAGCCGUUGGAAACGACGAAUAAUACCCUAUGAAACUAUCACUUCGCAUGAAGCGAUAGUCAAAGUGUUAGCGGUGUAAGAUGGACUUGCGUCUGAUUAGCUAGUUGGUGAGAAAAAAGCCCACCAAGGCAACGAUCAGUAGCCGGCUUGAGGGAGUGUACGGCCACAUUGGGACUGAGACACGGCCCAG